UUAGUUGGGAACAUAUUCGCCACCCGCCCUUCCUUCUCCACCGCCUCUUCUUUUCUCUCUUUGCAAGAAUUGGCUGAAGCAAUGUUAUUUCAGAUUAUACAGCUGUUGAAGCUCAUUCGGAGCGAACAACGGGAGAUCGGAAGCGGUGAACCCUUCGCGGAGGGAGAGGAGUAGGUGUUGAUGGAGUUUCUGGACAGUGGCAGAGUCUGUUUGGACGCGGAGGGACACAAAAGAAAAGUGCAAGUUGAAGUGUGAAAGUGACAGCUGGAAAAAGAUGGAGAGAUCUGGAGUGACAUCUGCAAGGAUGAAGACAGAGCAACCAAUGAAUCACCUUCAAAGGAUUAUGAUGACAUAGCCAUGUACACAGGAGAGGCACAUUCCAGCCCAUCAAGAACCUAACAGGGGUCUGGUUACAGUGCACCUCAAGUUGGGAAUGAAAAAAAAAACUGUGGGAACAUUCGGAAAUCUUCUCAUCAUUCAGUCCUACAGCAAUGGGCACUCCUGAUAUUUUCAAAUUUUCUUGUCAGUGUUCAGCAUGGCUGUCAAAACCAUGAUGUUAUCAGCAAAUUAGCAGUGAUAUGUCACUGGAGUAGGCAAUCAAUGAGCAUUCUGUUACAUUUUCCACACAGUAGCGUUGUUAUGCGUUAUAGCUUUUUAACAAAUGAUCUUUUUUUUUUGCUGAAUAUCCCUGAGAGUAGAGUAGAUGUUGUGGUUUUUGAUGAUGUGCAGACGCUAACCGAUACAUGCUAAUAGUUUGUGUGGAUUGUUAUUUCUGUAUCAACAGAUAGUUAGAAGUGCAAAUUUGAGCUGCUGUUAAUGAAGAUGAAACUGAUUUAAUUUCAUUUGCAUUUUAGUUUCAUUCUGCAAGUGAGUCAUGUCAUGAGUAGGGAUGAGAAUUGAUAGGAUUUUUACGAUUCCAUUAUCGACAUUGCUUAACAAUUCGAUUCUCUUAUCGAUUCUAAUUUGGGGAAAAAGAAGAACAAACGUUUUCAUUGGCAUCGAAUUUGUUUAAACAGAAGUCACAACCUUACAAACUCACAACGAGGUCAAAAGAGGCCUAAAGCCUGAAUAUUAACUGUGGCAAUAAGUGGCAAAUGCACAAGAAUGUGUAACAUUUUAGUGAAACAUUUUUCUAAUAGAAAUAAAAAAAUAUUGGUAUAUAUUGGCAUGUAUGUUGUUAGUCUGCCGUUGGCAAUAUGUGUUAAACUUGCAGGGGUCCCCAAACUUUUUCCUGUGAGGGCCACAUAACUUUUCCCUUCUCUGAUGAGGGGCCGGGGUCAGUUUGUAACAGAAAAAGUGUGACGAUUGCAGGAGUGCCUAAAUGUAAAAAAAAAAAAAAAAAUUUUCAGAAAGCCACAAUCAAAUAAAAAUAAUAUAAUAUAAUAAUAAUAAUAGAUGAUAAUAACACUAUUAAUCAAACAGAUAAUAACCAAAUAACCCUCUCUGAGUUCUUCACAGAAAAAGGCCAGAAAAUAAAUAACACUAAUGAGAAAAAAAAAAAAAUUCAAAAUGUUUUCUGGUAUUGUUCAGGGGGCCGGACCAAAUGUCGGGGCGGGCCGUAUCCGGCCCGCGAGCCAUAGUUUGGGGACCCCUGUUAAAGUGUAUUAUUUACCAGUAUAUUGAAAUGCAUGCCUUUUAGUUUUUAUGGUGCUUUCACACUCAAGUGGGGGCGCCCUUGCACUUCCUCACGCGAAGAAGAACGCGCUCACGUGAAGAAGAGCAGGCUUACACGCGAAGAAGAAGAAAUGGCGCAUCCAAGCGAGUGAGCGAGUUAGUGAGAGAGGAAAGCACUGCUACGACCCUACGUUCUUUGUUAAUGUUUGUAGAAUAUCUACAGAGGCAACGCCUGUACGUAUCAGCUUUUGUGUUGUUGUUGUGUGUUUUCACUCGCGGUCGGACACUUAAAUCCAGUUGUGUAGUGGUUUGAACGAUGUGCUAAUGCUAGCGAACGCAUGCUAACCGUCUUGUUAUUACUGUAUUAGCAGCUAAUCAUCGCUGAUUUGCGUUGAUGCAAACCUGUUUGUUAUUGGGGACGUAAUUGAUUUGUUUCAUUUCUAUUUUUAGUUUCACUCUUCAAUUGAUGGUUGAAUAAAGUCAGCAAAUUAUUCCAACGUCUUCUGUAUCGUCAUUUCGGAGUUUAGCUAGCUGUAUAGCUGUCUCGGUGAGGACAGUGCAGUCUAUUCCCUCCCGAUGCAGUUAUCUCCACCUUGCAAUGACCGCAAGUCGUUUUGUUGUAAUUUUUCCUCGUGAAGUGAAGACAAACUUUCGAGCGUUUCAACCUACGUGCUGUCAUUGUUUAUGGCUGCAAUGCUCGCGCUAAACCAUCGUAACCUUUCAUUUUCACCCUAAUUCCUGGUGAAGUGUAGCCAAACUUUGGAGCGGGUGGUUCUUGGCGCCAUGCUAGCUUGAUGCGUCUGGACAACAAGACAGUCACGACGCAAUAUGCGUCUUUAGGAAUCGUUAAGGCUUUUUCAUUGUGAUGUCGAGGCCUUGAAACAAUAGGAACCGGUUCGGAAUUGGAAUCGGAUUUCGAUUCCCAUCCCUAGUCAUGAGCAGCUGAAUAAAGGCAGCAAACCACACGGACGUCUGAUAUCGCCCGUGUAAUAGGAUCGGAUAUAAUAGGAUCGAAAUUAUCCUAUUGUUACUGUCGUGUCGACAGCGAUGAGCUCUCUUGGAUUUCCGACCUACAUUCUCACUUUCAUUUUACCGUAUCAAUCCAUGGAGGAAACGCUUAUUCAUCAUGAUGAAACGAGCAAAUUAUACAGCAGCCUUUAAAAGGAAAGUCACAUCUGUUUUGUUUUCUCCUGGAUUCUGGUAAGUUCAAAAAGUUAUCAGAUCAUAUUUUUACCGUACAUAUGGUCAGUUUACGGUAAUGUUUUGAACUACCAAUGUGCUAUGCUUGUGCUGUGUUUCACCUGUCAGUAAAAUGACAUUUCUGUAUCUGUACAUGAGUUCUGUUUUCUUGUAUUCUUCUAUUUAGUGGUGCUAAAAUUAGGGUGCACGUUAUACACUGGUACAAUAAUUUUCCCUAGAUUUCAUAAGUAAAUCUGGGGUUAUAAAUGGGUGCUCCUUAUAUUCAGGAAAUUACAGUACAUGUUUUUGAAUA